GCGGAAGUCCGCGCGGAAACCCGGAAGGAGGGGCGGCGACGGAGGGCGCCGCGGCCCGCGGGGGCAGCUUCGCUUGUGCUUCGGCCCCUUCGUUAGGCGUGGGCUGCCGAGUGGAGCGCGGCCACGCUGUGCUUCGGGUAGCAGGCGGGGGCCGAGAGCGCCUCGCACUGCUGGUGCUCGGAUCCGAGGGGCGGGAGCCUGAUGGUCGGGGUUCCUGUGCGACUCCGGCCCGAUUCCCCCACCCAUCCGGCCCAGGCGCUCCUGGUUCUGAACGGGGACUUCCUUUGAAGUGUCAAGAUCUCAAACAGGGAACCAAAAUCAAAGAAGGGUUCAUAUUAAAUCCAGAGUCAAGGCAACAGAGAGACACAACGAGAGAGGGAACACAGGCAGAGGGAGUGGGAGAGGGAGAAGCAGGUUUCCAGCGGAGCAGGGAUCCCGAUGUGGGGCUCGAUCCCAGGACCCUAGGAUCAUGACCUGAGCCGAAGGCAGACGCUUAACGACUGAGCCACCUAGGUGCCCCGAAGAAGAUUUAUGAUCCCUGCCCUUUGAAAUUUUGAUUUGUAAGUUUGUGGUUGGAUCCAAGAACCAUCAUUCUUAAUAAACACCACAGGUGCUGUUCACCUUAUCGAUUGUCUAUUGAUUCAUAUCGGUUUCUUUCUUAGAGCAUAAUUGAAAUUCCAAACUUUGGAGACACCCAGCAUAGUCCAACUUUGGUAGGUCCUACUCCUAACUUUAUGGCCUUAGGCAUUUCCCCCACUAAGAGUUCGGAAGUAGAUGGGUGUCAGAACCAGUCUCAUUGAUUGACUGAUUGAUUGAUUGAUUCAUUCGUUCAACAAAGUUUUUUGAGCACCUGCAUCAGUGAAACAAAUAGACAUAAAUCCCUUACAUUCUAACUAGGAGGAAAGAGCCAGUAAAUCGAUAAAUACACUAGGUGGGCAGUACUGUAGAAAAAAAUAAGCUGGGUAGGGAGGUUGUGAGUGCAGAGUAUAUUGCGGUUUUCAGUGGGCCAUCCUGGGUAGGCCUCAUUGGCAGAGUGACUUGAAAGUGAGCCAUGUGGCUCUCCAGAAGCUGAGUGUCCCAGGCAAAGAGGACAGCCAGUCUAAUGUCCCUGAUCAGAAGCUGAGCACACCUGGCAUGAGAAAGGGAGUGGUGUGACAGGGGCUGAGGUCUGAAAGGGUACGGGGAGCCAGGUCAUGCCCUUAUAGGGCAUUGCAAGGUCAUUGGCUUGUACUCAAGUGAAAUGGGGAGCCACUGGAAGAUUCUGAGCAGUGACAUGAUCUGACUUACAUUUUGAAAGUAUCACCCAGGCUGCUGCAGGGGGAAUAGGAGCAGAAACAGGCAGAUGACUCUGGUAAUACAGGUGAGAUUGAUGGCUGGGAUUGGGGUGGUAGCGGUGGAUGUGGGGAGAGGUGGUUGGAUGCUGUAUGUGUUUCGAAGGCAGAACCAAUCAUUUUCCGACUGAUUAGAUGUGAAUGUUGGAGAAGAGAGAUAUCAAUGAGGACUCUAAUCGGGGUGAAUCUUGGAAUUUUUGCUUGGAAUGCUGAGCAGAAGCAUCCCCAAAUAAGGAAGUGCAUGGUCCACAUGUUGCUGGCAGCCAUCCUGUGUUCAUGAGGAGAUCCAACCUGAGAGUGGAGCCAAUGCUGUGUUUGGUGGGGCAGAGUGGCAGGAAGAAACUGUCCUGAGGGCAGUGCUGAGCCAGAGUCCACACCUGAAGCCUGAUCCACCUCUGCACUUCCAGUUUCAAGAGCCAAUGAGUCCCCUUUGUUACUUUGUUAUUUGCAUCCCAAACUGCUGACUGGGAGAUGUCUUUCAGAUGCACUAUGUGCCUAAAGGAACUUUUUACAGCCCUAUCAGAGCUACCCUCCAGACCUCAGGGGUAACUUUGUCCAGAUGUUCUCUCUCAUGCCUCUCCCAUCUCAUUGGUCCCUUGGCACAUUGUCAUCCCCUUAAGAUAAGGGUACUGACUCAGGAGCAGGCCCAGAUGGACCUGGCAUGGCAGAACGUCUGAAGUGAUUAGCCCAACAUCCCUGUUAGUAGUAGUAGUCUUAGCUGUGCCCGCAUUUCACAGAGUUGAGAGUGGAGAUUAGGGGACUUACCCAAGAUCAAAAAGUUUUCUAUUUCAAAUCCAAGAUUAGUUUGUCUAAUUAGCCAGUCACAAUCCAUGUGUCACAUAGAAGAGAGUAGAGCUUUUCAGGAGGAGGCCACCUGGGUGGUUGCUUCACUGAUUGGCAGUAUAUUGGGACAGAUACCACAGAUCUGAUACUUAGCUUUACAGAUGCAGUAAUUAUUGGGCCCCUUCACUCAGGGUGAUUAAGCUGAGAGGGAUUAAUUCAUCAUAGUCAAACUUACAAGAGACUGAUGUAUAAAUCAGUUUGUCAUGUUAUUUAUAAUAGGAAGUGUUUUUCAGACUUGAACUUGUGGACCCUUGAAUGUAUCCCCAUUUGAGAAGUAUUGCUUUUAUACUUACAUUAUGAGACUUUAGGUGAUCACCUGAUUGAAAUAAUCAUAAAGGUAAAUCCAGUCUGGGCAUUGAUAUUACGUGGCAUUACUCUGUAAAAAGGUGGUGAUCCACGUGAUGCUUGUGUUAAAAUUUUUAUGUAUCUUUCAAAUGAAAACACAGCAUUUAAAGAUUAUCCUAAGGAAUUCAUGGACCUCUGAAUAUUUGAUUAAAGACUCCAAUAUGAAAAACAAUGCAAUAGGAGAAAGGCUUUGUUUGAACAUUGGGGCCAGUUAUGUAUACAGGAUGCUCUAAAGCAAGUCUACUCAGGAAACCGGAUUGUAGAUCUGAAGACAGAUUGUUGGGUGUAGAAUAAGGGCAGAGGGAGCUGGCUGUUCUCAGGGAACACAGCCCUUAGACAAGGGGAGCUAGUUAUCCUAUCUGUACUUGUCCUACAAAUACUUAUGUUUAAGACUACCAGUCAUGGAGAACAGAGUCCCAUCUUUCUUGCAUUGUGGCAGAGAAGCACUGACAAAUUAUUAUUCACUAACUUCCUUUUCCUAGACUCAUCUUGAAUCCGUGAACCCUCCCUGCCAAAGCAUCAUCUCUAGGUAAAUAGGAAGUGUGCUCUCUUCCUAACAAGGAAGGAGCUUGGACCAGAUUGGUGGAAUGCCAAAGCCCACGCAUGCUCUUUUCAGUUAGCAUGUAGCUAGUUUCUAUCACUGAACUAAAAUUAUGAGGGACCCUUAUAUUCUAUAGGAGACAGUAAAAGCAGCUUUUAAAAAAAU